rnacentral:rRNA from 1 species
UACAGAGGGGGCAAGCGUUGUUCGGAAUUACUGGGCUUAAAGGGUUUGUAGGCGGCCAUGUAAGUCGGGUGUGAAAUCCCUCGGCUCAACCGAGGAAUGGCGCCCGAUACUGCACGGCUUGAGGGAGACAGGGGUAAGCGGAACUGAUGGUGGAGCGGUGAAAUGCGUUGAUAUCAUCAGGAACACCGGUGGCGAAAGCGGCUUACUGGGUCUCUUCUGACGCUGAGGAACGAAAGCUAGGGUAGCGAACGGG